AGCUCACGGGGCUCAAACCGAAGUGCUUCGCAGAAUCUACCACCGGGUCGGUAGCGCGACCCACUGAGAAGAUCCGGUGAGUAACUCAGUGGGCUGUGUCUAUGGGUUA